UAGUACGGCGAGUGAAGCGGGAAGAGCUCAAAUUUGAAAUCUGGUAGCCUUCGGUUGCCCGAGUUGUAAUCUAGAGAAGUGUUUUCCGCGUUGGCCCAUGUACAAGUCCCUUGGAACAGGGCGUCAUAGAGGGUGAGAAUCCCGUCCUUGACAUGGACCCCCAAUGCUUUGUGAUACACUUUCAACGAGUCGAGUUGUUUGGGAAUGCAGCUCAAAAUGGGUGGUGAAUUCCAUCUAAAGCUAAAUAUUGGCGAGAGACCGAUAGCGAACAAGUACCGUGAGGGAAAGAUGAAAAGCACUUUGGAAAGAGAGUUAAACAGUACGUGAAAUUGUUGAAAGGGAAACGAUUGAAGUCAGUCAUGCUCUUUGGUUUAAGCCGUUCUGCGGUGUAUAUCAUUGAGUGGGGUCAACAUCAGUUUUGACCGCUGGAAAAGGGCAGGAGGAAGGUAGCACCCCCGGGUGAACUUAUAGCCUCUUGUCGUAUACAGUGGUUGGGACUGAGGAACGCAGCAUGCCUUUUGGCCGGGAUUCGUCCACGUACAUGCUUAGGAUGUUGACAUAAUGGCUUUAAACGACCCGUCUAA
rnacentral:rRNA from 1 species